UACGGAGGGUGCAAGCGUUGUUCGGAUUUAUUGGGCGUAAAGCGCGUGUAGGCGGUUUCUUAAGUCUGAUGUGAAAGCCCUGGGCUCAACCCAGGAGGUGCAUUGGAUACUGGGAGACUUGAAUACGGGAGAGGGUAGUGGAAUUCCUAGUGUAGGAGUGAAAUCCGUAGAUAUUAGGAGGAACACCGGUGGCGAAGGCGGCUACCUGGACCGAUAUUGACGCUGAGACGCGAAAGCGUGGGGAGCAAACAGG
rnacentral:rRNA from 1 species